AAUGAACGCUGGCGGCAGGCCUAACACAUGCAAGUCGAACGAUCACACGAAGACUCUUGCCUCUUUGCUUACGAGUGGCGGGCGUGUGUGUCAUGUCUGUGAAAUAGCCUUAUGGAUGGGGUUAACUUCUGGAACCGGUACUUAUUCCCGCAUAACUUCUCAAGCCCAAAGUGCGAGACCUUCGUUCCUUUUUUCUUCGGCUUUUCCCCGAUGGGAUUCGCUAGUAGGUGGGGUAACGGCUCACCUAGGCGCCACUCCCUAGCUGGUCUGAGAGGAUGACCAGCCACACUGGAACUGAGACACGGUCCAGACUCCUACGGGAGGCAGCAGUGGGGAAUAUUGCGCAAUGGGCGAAAGCCUGAUGCAGCAAUGCCGCGUGAAUGAAGAAGGACUUCGGGUUGUAAAGUACUUUCAGCGGGGAGGAAGGGAGUAAAGUUAAUAUCUGUACUCAUUGACGGUACCAGCAGAAGAAGCACCGGCUAACUCCGUG
rnacentral:rRNA from 1 species